rnacentral:rRNA from 1 species
GAUGAACGCUGGCGGCGUGCCUAAUACAUGCAAGUCGAGCGAACAGACGAGGAGCUUGCUCCUCUGACGUUAGCGGCGGACGGGUGAGUAACACGUGGAUAACCUACCUAUAAGACUGGGAUAACUUCGGGAAACCGGAGCUAAUACCGGAUAAUAUAUUGAACCGCAUGGUUCAAUAGUGAAAGACGGUUUUGCUGUCACUUAUAGAUGGAUCCGCGCCGCAUUAGCUAGUUGGUAAGGUAACGGCUUACCAAGGCAACGAUGCGUAGCCGACCUGAGAGGGUGAUCGGCCACACUGGAACUGAGCCACGGUCCAGACUCCUACGGGAGGCAGCAGUAGGGAAUCUUCCGCAAUGGGCGAAAGCCUGACGGAGCAACGCCGCGGGAGUGAUGAAGGUCUUCGGAUCGUAAAACUCUGUUAUUAGGGAAGAACAAAUGUGUAAGUAACUAUGCACGUCUUGACGGUACCUAAUCAGAAAGCCACGGCUAACUACGUG